rnacentral:rRNA from 1 species
GACGAACGCUGGUGGCGUGCUUAACACAUGCGAGUCGAACGGAAAGGCCUCUUUCGGGGGGUACUCGAGUGGCGAACGGGUGAGUAACACGUGAGUAACCUGCCCUUGACUUUGGGAUAACUUCAGGAAACUGGGGCUAAUACCGGAUAGGAGCUCCUGCUGCAUGGUGGGGGUUGGAAAGUUUCGGCGGUUGGGGAUGGACUCGCGGCUUAUCAGCUUGUUGGUGGGGUAGUGGCUUACCAAGGCUUUGGCGGGUAGCCGGCCUGAGAGGGUGACCGGCCACAUUGGGACUGAGAUACGGCCCAGACUCCUACGGGAGGCAGCAGUGGGGAAUAUUGCACAAUGGGUGGAAGCCUGAUGCAGCAACGCCGUGUGCGGGAUGACGGCCUUCGGGUUGUAAACCGCUUUCGCUCAUGACGAAGCUUUGUGUGACGGUAGUGGGUAAAGAAGCACCGGCUAACUACGUG